UGGUGCCGAAGGCGGGGAUUUCCUCUCCAAUGGGUUUAUAAGGGGUUCCUUUAAAAAUUAGUAUUGACCCUUGGCUCGGCCGGGGGUUCCCUCAAUGUGAAAUAUAUCUUUAGGGCUUUUUCUCUCGAAAUUCGAUUUUUGGGAAAAGGGAAACCGGGCCCUUUCAUAGAAAAAAUAGGUGUUUCAAGCGGCCUGGGUGCCUGAUUAUUUUAACAAGGAUUAUUAAUUGGGCGUUCGGGUUUUUUUUUUUGGUUUUGGAAUCCCCGGUAUUGAUUAUUGGGACCGUCGGGGCCUUUAGUACUCACAUGGUUGAAGUGAACUUCUUGGAUUUUGUGAAGACUAACUUCUGCGUAAGCAUUCCGCAGGGAUGUAUUCCUUAAUCAGAACGGAAGGUUUGGGUAUUGAAAAACGAUUAGAUACAGUUGUAGUCGUAGCAGUAAACUAUGCCGACUAAGGAUCGGUAGAUGUUAUCUUUUUGACUCGAUCGGCACCUUACGAGAAAUCAAAGUUUUGCGGUUCUGGGGGGAGUAUGGUCGCAAGGCUGAAACUUAAAGAAAUUGACGGAAGGGCUCCACCAGGAGUGGAGCCUGCGGCUUAAUUUGAUUCAACAGGGGGAAACUCACCAGGUCCAGACAUAGGAAGGAUUGACAGAUUGAUAGCUCUUUAUGGAUUAUAUAGGUGGUGCUUCAUGGCCGUUCUUAGUUGGUGGAGUGAUUUGUCUGGUUAAUUCCGAUAACGAACGAGACGUUAACGUGAUAAAUAGCCCCAUCGACUAUGGUUGGAGGGUGGCUUCUUAGAGGGACUAUUGGCUUCCAGCCAAUGGAAGUUUGAGGCAAUAACAGGUCUGUGAUGCCUUUAGAUGUUCUGGGCCGCACGCGCGGUACGCUGACGGAGCCAACGAGUACUUUCCUUGUCCGGAAGGACUGGGUAAUCUUGUGAAACUUCGUCGUGCUGGGGAUAGAGCAUUGCAAUUAUUGCUCUUCACCGAGGAAUUCCUAGUAAGCGUGAGUCAUCAGCUCGCGUUGAUUACGUCCCUGCCCUUUGUACACACCGCCCGUCGCUACUACCGAUUGAAUGGCUUAGUGAGCCUUUGGGAUUGGCAGCUUGUACCGGCAACGGUAGCAGGCCGCUGAAAACUUAGGCAAACUUGGUCAUUUAGAGGAAGUAAAAGUCGUAACA
rnacentral:rRNA from 1 species